GACGAACGCUGGCGGCGUGCUUAACACAUGCAAGUCGAACGAAGUGGCGUACGGGUGAGUACAGCGUAAUCCACCUGCCCUUCAGAGGGGGACAACAGUUUGAAACGACUGCUAAUACCGCAUACUGAAGGAGGGGAUUGCGUCUGAUUAGCUAGUUGGAGGGGGAACGGCCCACCAAGGCGAUGAUCAGGAGCCGGUCUGAGAGGAUGAACGGCCACGUUGGGACUGAGACACGGCCCAGAAUCCUACGGGAGGCAGCAGUGGGGAAUCUUCCGCAAUGGACGAAAGUCUGACGGAGCAACGCAGCGUGAGUGAUGACGGCCUUCGGGUUGUAAAGCUCUGUUAAUCGGGACGCGGUACCGGAAUAGAAAGCCACGGCUAACUACGUGCCAGCAGCCGCGGUAAUUC
rnacentral:rRNA from 1 species